GGUCCGUUAGUCUAGAGGCCUAUGACGUCUGCCUGUCACGCAGAAGAUCACGGGUUCGAAUCCCGUACGGACCGCCA
rnacentral:tRNA from 4 species